GGGCGGGGCUCAGCCCUGGCGUAGGCCCUGACUUCAAGGCAGAACCCCACACUGCUUGGACCACCUGAGCCAGCAGCUCCAAUGCUCCCUAGCAUUCCAUGUUCUCCCCACGGAUCUGAGUGUUCCCCCAAAUGUCUCCUGCACCUCCCCAAUAGGGUGGUAUCCAGUGUGCUACACUCCAGACCUGGGUUCCUGCCUUCUCUGGAUGCUGCCCACCGCCAUGACAGACCUGCUGUGCUCAGGAGGGCGCAGUGACAGCUGCCACAGCCCAGCCUGAACCCCAUGCCCGGCUGCUAGAAGGUGCUGCAGGGUGGCUUCCCCUUCUGCUGCGGCAGCUCAGUGCUGUCUCUGAGUUACCUGGAAGCCCAGGAGGGCACCAGAGCACUUGAUGGAGGAUGAGACACAUGUGUGGGGGAGCUGGCACCGCUCUAAUGAGCUCCACACAGGCUGGCUUCUCCAUCAGGUGACAUUUCUCAGAACCUAUCCUCCCCCGCUGACCCGCCUGGAAUCCACUAGAGCCCAGCCUGGCGGGCAGAACUGGAUCGGUGCUUGGAAGAACGCUGGCACCAUGCAAAGAAUCCUCGCCACACUGCAGACACCCAUGUCUGGUCUCCCCACGCUGCACUGCAGGCCAACUGUUCUGAGCUAGGCCAGAAAGACGCUCCUGAGAGGCCCCCUCCCCCGCGCACGCGCACAUUGCUCUGGGCACGCGCCCUAGCCCUGGCUACGCUGCAGCUCUGGUCCCACUGCCCCACACCCUGGGCCUGGCAGGAUCUGCAACGUUAUGACUAUGGAAACGUAAAUUAAUUAAAAACUAAUGAGUUAAUGAUUAA